CAGCAGCAGCCGCGGGAAUACAGAGGGUGCAAGCGUUAAUCGGAAUUACUGGGCGUAAAGCGUGCGUAGGCGGCUUCUUAAGUCGGAUGUGAAAUCCCUGAGCUUAACUUAGGAAUUGCAUUUGAUACUGGGAAGCUAGAGUAUGGGAGAGGAUGGUAGAAUUCCAGGUGUAGCGGUGAAAUGCGUAGAGAUCUGGAGGAAUACCGAUGGCGAAGGCAGCCAUCUGGCCUAAUACUGACGCUGAGGUACGAAAGCAUGGGGAGCAAACAGGAUUAGAUACCCCCGUAGUCCCUGUCUCUUAUAC
rnacentral:rRNA from 1 species